UGCGUGGCAUACGGCUCAGUAACACGUAGUCAACAUGCCCAGGGGACGUGGAUAACCUCGGGAAACUGAGGAUAAACCACGAUAGGCCAAGAUUUCUGGAAUGAAUCAUGGCUGAAAUCUACAUGGCCCCUGGAUUGGACUGCGGCCGAUCAGGCUGUUGGUGAGGUAAUGGCCCACCAAACCUAUAACCGGUACGGGCUCUGAGAGGAGGAGCCCGGAGAUGGGCACUGAGACAAGGGCCCAGGCCCUAUGGGGCGCAGCAGGCGCGAAACCUCUGCAAUAGGCGAAAGCUUGACAGGGUUACUCUGAGUGAUGCCCGUUAAGGGCAUCUUUUGGCACCUCUAAAAAUGGUGUAGAAUAAGGGGUGGGCAAGUCUGGUGUCAGCCGCCGCGGUAAUACCAGCACCCCGAGUGGUCGGGACGAUUAUUGGGCCUAAAGCAUCCGUAGCCGGUUCUGCAAGUCUUCCGUUAAAUCCACCUGCUCAACAGAUGGGCUGCGGGGGAUACUACAGGGCUAGGAGGCGGGAGAGGCAAGCGGUACUCGGUGGGUAGGGGUAAAAUCCUCUGAUCCACUGAAGACCACCAGUGGCGAAGGCGGCUUGCCAGAACGCGCUCGACGGUGAGAGAUGAAAGCUGGGGGAGC
rnacentral:rRNA from 1 species